CAAAUUAAAGCUUUUUAGCAAUUUAUUUACAUUAAAGGGGGAGUUUAAAUACUUAAUUUGA
rnacentral:tRNA from 1 species